rnacentral:lncRNA from 1 species
GGAGAAUCAAAAUUGCCCCACAACAUCAAAGCAAACAUCAAAAUCCCAAAAACAAAAUUCAACUCUUUAAUUGGUUCCAAAGAAAAACAACAUCAAUAACCCAAAAAUAAAAAAUUCAACUUUUUGAAUGCAAAACACAUCAAUAACCCAAAAAAAAAAAAUCAACUUUUUGAUUAGCCCACAAAAUAAUACACAAAACCCAAAAUUCUAAUUGUAAAUCACAAUCUAAGAGAGAGUUUGAGAGAGAGAGAGAGAUUACUUGUGUAGAGAUACCAUUGAAGUAAUGUGAGAUAGUAGCAGGAAGACCAAAAGGAGAAGCAGAAUUGUUAUAAAGAAACAUCCACAACACAGCAAAAGCAACAAGAAACAUAAUCAUUUGCAUAACCCUCCUAACAAAAACAUGACUUCCUCCUGUUCCAAUUGAAUUCCAUGCCUUAUUCCCUUCUCCGGCGACGUUGUCGACGGCACCGGCAGCAGCAUAAUGAUUCUUCAUUGUAUCAAAACCUUACUUGUUGUGUCACAAAAAUAUUGUAUGUAUCAAUGAAGAAAACUAUAUUAUAAGCUUCUUUGUUUUCUUCACCAACACUAAGGUUUAUUUAUGUAACUAUAUGUGUAUGUCUUAUGUAAGAUGUUUUAGAACUACCUAGUAUAUAAAACAAAGUUUGAGGUUGUUUGUUUGGUACUCUUUGGAAGAUAGAUCACAUGAUUUUCAAGAUGAUGAAAAAAAAAACAAAGGGAAUUGGAAUUGGGAAAGUUUGUAUAAAGAG